AAACACUCAAUAAUAAAGGUAGUCUUCCGUUUCUCAAAAGUUUCACAUCCUCCCCUAAAUACUUUUAACACUCUUUUCACCUACCAAAAUCUUCCUUCCAAUAUCUUGUAUUUUUAUUAUAAUUUUUUUUAUAUAUUCAGACGCAUUAAUAUUUUUAUUAUUGGAAAAAAAACACAAUAACCCAUUUAUAUGUAUAAACCCAUUACAUAAUUCCAACCCCUACCUUUAUAUUCAAUUGGGUCUCUUCAACCAUUAUGCAACAGUCGUAGAUACCUUCCAUUGUUAAUACCAACUCAACUUGACAAUCAAUGGAGACAAAAGUUAUCAUAAGUUUGAUUUAAAUAUAGCUUCAUUCUAACUGUUAAAGAUGAAGUCUGUUCAUUCAGCAACAUUUCUACCUUGCGAUUUAAUUGGUCUUUUGUCAGAGAUUGUUUCCUAGAGUCAACGACCGUGAUUUCCUUGAUUAAAUGAGGCAUUCAAACAGAACCUGCAAACAGUGCUCAAGAAGUAAUGCAACUUUUGUUGAUUGGUGUGAAUUUUGAUAUCAUAUUUAUUGAUUUUGAUUUGCCCAUAAUAAGUAGACCUCAGUUUGUGAUGGAUAUGCGUGCAUUGGGGAUACAAAGAAAAAUAGUCCGCAAGUUAUCAAACUUUGGUGAUUAUAAUUCAAAAAUAUUUCUUGAAGCAUGAUUUAAUGGCAACACUCAGAAAUCUUUGACUCGAGGAAUUUUUGAACACAUCAUUGAAAUCCUUCACUUUAUAUGAAUAUAAUGUUCCUCAUUGUUAUGAUGUGAUAUGCUUAUAAUUUGUAGGAGAGACAUUGAUUCUUUGAGUUGAAAUAUUAAAUAAAUUAUGAAAUGUAUGGGAUAAAAAAUAAAAGUAAUUUAUCUAUAAUAUUUUGGAAAUUAAUAACGAUCGGGAAUAAUGUGACGAAGGAAGCAAAUCCAUAAUAAACUAAUGAAAGGGGUAAUGUUACUGAAAUGAUGGAAUUUACACCAUCGUCAAUUCCUGAACCAUUGCCAAAAACUCUGACUGGAUCAUCAUCGCGACUACAAGAUAUAAUACUUUCUAAUCCUCCUUCAAGUCGAAUCACAAUACCACAGGAUGAUAUGGAUGGCAUUGGAUUUACCAGAUCCUCCUCCAAGCUGCAUUAUCACAAUUUCAUUCUCAAAGCUGCAUUAUCACAACUUUAAAUUACAUUAUCGAAGCCUUUAAAUUACAUUAUCAAAGCCGUAUUAUUACAAUGUCAUCCUGAAAGUGAAAAUUUUGUAUAUUAUCUUAAGUCUAAAGAUCUACCUCCUAGUUAUAUUAUCACAUGUACUGGCUUCACAUGUAUUAAGGAAUGAUAAAUACGAAUAACUCGCUUAAAUA